CUCCAGACAUCAAGACCCCCUUCUGCCCAAUCCUGCGCCUCGACUCCGCCCUCGUCCGCUCGGUCGCCACAGACAAUAAAGCGCUGUAUGUGAUCAGCACUUCAGAGAGUCAGAUCUAUGAGCUGGUGGCCGGGACAUCCUCGGAGAAGAACACUUGGAAAGACCUGCUGGAAAAGUCAAUCGCAGCAGUCACUCAAGCAGCGGGAUCGAGCAAACGUGGAUCACCAGCGCCG